UACGUAGGGUGCAAGCGUUGUCCGGAAUUAUUGGGCGUAAAGAGCUCGUAGGCGGUUAGUCGCGUCUGCUGUGAAAACUCGGGGCUUAACUCCGGGCCUGCAAUGGGUACGGGCUGACUAGAGUGCGGUAGGGGAGACUGGAAUUCCUGGUGUAGCGGUGAAAUGCGCAGAUAUCAGGAGGAACACCGGUGGCGAAGGCGGGUCUCUGGGCCGUAACUGACGCUGAGGAGCGAAAGCGUGGGGAGCGAACAGG
rnacentral:rRNA from 1 species